CAUGCAAGCCGAGCGGUAUUGUUUCUUCGGAAAUGAGAGAGCGGCGUACGGGUGCGGAACACGCGUGCAACCUGCCUUUAUCUGGGGGAUAGCCUUUCGAAAGGAAGAUUAAUACUCCAUAAUAUAUUGAACGGCAUCGUUUAAUAUUGAAAGCUCCGGCGGAUAGAGAUGGGCACGCGCAAGAUUAGCUAGUUGGUGAGGUAACGGCUCACCAAGGCGAUGAUCUUUAGGGGGCCUGAGAGGGUGAUCCCCCACACUGGUACUGAGACACGGACCAGACCCCUACGGGAGGCAGCAGUGAGGAAUAUUGGUCAAUGGGUGCAAGCCUGAACCAGCCAUCCCGCGUGAAGGACGACUGCCCUAUGGGUUGUAAACUUCUUUUGUAUAGGGAUAAACCUACCCUCGUGAGGGUAGCUGAAGGUACUAUACGAAUAAGCACCGGCUAACUCCGUGCCAGCAGCCGCGGUAAUACGGAGGGUGCAAGCGUUAUCCGGAUUUAUUGGGUUUAAAGGGUCCGUAGGCGGACUUAUAAGUCAGUGGUGAAAGCCUGUCGCUUAACGAUAGAACUGCCAUUGAUACUGUAA
rnacentral:rRNA from 1 species